rnacentral:misc_RNA from 1 species
CAGUGAGAGAAAGAGAGAGAGGGAAAGAUGAAGAGAGAGACAUGAAAGAGUCAAUUUAUCUCUAUCUUUCCCCAUACCUUUCAUUCUCUCUCUCUCACUCCACCUCUCUCUUUCCUUAUUUUUUCAUGUACAUUUAAAAGCGUGAAAGUUUUAAAUAGUGAAAGAAAGAGAAAGAGACAAAUAGGAAGAGAGAAAGGGAGAGAUAUGGAAAGAAAGGUAGACAUAGUGAGUGUCAAUCUGUCUUUAUCUCUCUCCAUAUCUUUCAUUCUCUCUCUCACCCUCUCUCUUAUUAUCUUUCAUUAUCUCUCUUUCUUUUUUCUUAUUUUGUACUUUCAAAAUUUUUACACUUUUAGCAUUUAGGGUUUAAACUUUAUUUUUUUUCAUUUUUUGCUUUUGCAAUUUAGAAUAUGUAAUUUCACCUUUUUAUCAUUUAGGACAUAUAUUUUCAUAUUUUUUCACUUAGGUGAUAAAAUGAUAAAUGGCAUAAAACUUGAUGACUUGACACCCAUUAUGCAUGGCAUGCCAUGUCAUGUCAUCGCCACAUCAUGCAUGGCACCAUGUCAACAUGUCACGUCACACAUGAGUAUCACAUCAGCUUCAUUUAAUAUCGUUAGCAAUUUAUCCUCACGGUGUAAAUGAAACGAAAGUUUUUGUUCUCAAUUGAAACAAAACAAAGUGUAUGUCGAUACUAAAAAGGCUAAAGUACAGGGUACUAAAGUGUACUUUACCCUAAUAAUAAUCACUGAUAGUUUUACUCAGUAUUGAAUACAGCAUCAAAGCUCUUAAACAAGAAAGGGAGUAUCUGGCAAAGAGGGUGAGUUCAAAGCUAACAGCAGAGGAAAGGGAAAUGCUUUAUGCAAAAUGGGAGAUCCCAUCAGUGGGAAAACAAACGAGGUUACAACCGGUGAACAAAUUACGGACAGACCCUCUUAACAUGCAACACAUGCAAGAGAGUGCUGAAAUUAUAGCUAAGCUUGUUCGGUUUUGUGAAUCCGGUGAACGUAUUAGCAAGGAGAUGUUUGAGCUAAACUUUGUAAGCCCUUGUGAUAAGAAGAAAUGGAUGGGCUGGAAUUUGAUAUCAAACCUAUUAGCAUUUUAGCUAAAAAAAUAAACUUAGGUUCAUUUUUUACUUUUGGUUCAUUUUUCGUAUUGAUAGACGGGCAUUUUGUCAGACAAGGUGAUUUGUGUACAUGUAUAUGGGUUGUGUACAGUUUACAUUAUGAUGAUUUGUGUACACGUAUAAUUAUUCAAUGCCUUGUGACCACCUGGGCAGCAGAAAUUAAUGUAAACUGGUGAUGGAUAUG